AUUGAACGCUGGCGGCAGGCCUAACACAUGCAAGUCGAGCGGCAGCGGAAAGUAGCUUGCUACUUUGCCGGCGAGCGGCGGACGGGUGAGUAAUGUCUGGGAAACUGCCUGAUGGAGGGGGAUAACUACUGGAAACGGUAGCUAAUACCGCACAACGUCGCAAGACCAAAGAGGGGGGCCUUCGGGCCUCUUGCCAUCAGAUGUGCCCAGAUGGGAUUAGCUAGUAGGUGGGGUAACGGCUCACCUAGGCGACGAUCCCUAGCUGGUCUGAGAGGAUGACCAGCCACACUGGAACUGAGACACGGUCCAGACUCCUACGGGAGGCAGCAGUGGGGAAUAUUGCACAAUGGGCGCAAGCCUGAUGCAGCCAUGCCGCGUGUAUGAAGAAGGCCUUCGGGUUGUAAAGUACUUUCAGCGGGGAGGAAGGCGAUAAGGUUAAUAACCUUGUCGAUUGACGUUACCCGCAGAAGAAGCACCGGCUAACUCCGUGCCAGCCGCCGCAGUAA
rnacentral:rRNA from 1 species